rnacentral:rRNA from 1 species
GAGUUUGAUCCUGGCUCAGAUUGGACGCUGGCGGCAUGCUUUACACAUGCAAGUCGAACGGCAGCAUGGGUGCUUGCACCUGAUGGCGAGUGGCGAACGGGUGAGUAAUAUAUCGGAACAUGUCCGGAAGUGGGGGAUAACGUAACGAAAGUUACGCUAAUACCGCAUAUGCCCUGAGGGGGAAAGGAGGGGAUCGUAAGACCUUUCGCUUUCGGAGUGGCCGAUAUCAGAUUAGCUAGUUGGUGAGGUAAAGGCUCACCAAGGCGACGAUCUGUAGCGGGUCUGAGAGGAUGAUCCGCCACACUGGGACUGAGACACGGCCCAUACUCCUACGGGAGGCAGCAGUGGGGAAUUUUGGACAAUGGGCGCAAGCCUGAUCCAACCAUGCCGCGUGAGUGAAGAAGGCCUUCAGGUUGUAAAGCUCUUUCAGCCAGAAAGAAAUCAUGCUUACUAAUACUAAGUGUGGAUGACGGUACCGGAAGAAGAAGCACCGGCUAACUACGUGCCAGCAGCCGCGGUAAUACGUAGGGUGCGAGCGUUAAUCGGAAUUACUGGGCGUAAAGCGUGCGCAUGCGGUUUUUUAAGACAGAUGUGAGAUCCCCGGGCGUUACCUGGCGACUGCAUUUGUGACUGGAAGGCUAUAGUACAGCAGAAGGGGGGUAGAAUUCCACGUGUAGCAGUGAAAUGCGUAGAUAUGUGGAAGAAUACCGGAUGGCAAAGGCAGCCCCCCUGGGUCGAUACUGAACGCUCAUGCACGAAAGCCGUGGGGAGCAAACAGGAUUAGAUACCCUGGUAGUCCCCGCCCUUAAAUGAUGUCAAAUAGCUGUUGGGGGAGGAGACUUCCUUAGUACCGCAGCUAACGCGUGAAGUUGACCGCCUGGGGAGUACGACCGCAAGGUUGAAAGUCAAAGGAAUCGACGGGGACCCGCACAAGCGGUGGAUUAUGUGGAUUAAUUCGAUGCAGCGCGAAAAACCUUACCUACCCUUGACAUGCCGAGAAUCCCGAAGAGAUUUGGGAGUGCCCGAAAGGGAAUUUGGACACAGGUGCUGCAUGGCUGUCGUCAGCUCGUGUCGUGAGAUGUUGGGUUAAGUCCCGCAACGAGCGCAACCCUUGUCAUUAAUUGCCAUCAUUUAGUUGGGCACUUUAAUGAGACUGCCGGUGAUAAAUCGGAGGAAGGUGGGGAUGACGUCAAGUCCUCAUGGCCCUUAUGGGUAGGGCUUCACACGUAAUACAAUGGUCGGUACAGAGGGUUGCCAACCCGCGAGGGGGAGUCAAUCUCGGAAAGCCGAUCGUAGUCCGGAUUGUUCCCUGCAACUCGAGAGCAUGAAGUCGGAAUCGCUAGUAAUCGCGGAUCAGCAUGUCGCGGUGAAUACGUUCCCGGGUCUUGUACACACCGCCCGUCACACCAUGGGAGCGGGUUCUGCCAGAAGUAGUUAGUCUAACCGCAAGGAGGGCGAUUACCACGGCAGGGUUCGUGACUGGGGUGAAGUCGUAACAAGGUAACCGUA